CCUACGGGCGGCAGCAGUGGGGAAUAUUGGACAAUGGGCGAAAGCCUGAUCCAGCCAUGCCGCGUGUGUGAAGAAGGCCUUCGGGUUGUAAAGCACUUUCAGUGGGGAAGAAAGCCUUGGGGCUAAUACCCUCGAGGAAGGACAUCACCCACAGAAGAAGCACCGGCUAACUCCGUGCCAGCAGCCGCGGUGAUACGGAGGGUGCGAGCGUUAAUCGGAAUUACUGGGCGUAAAGCGCGCGUAGGCGGUCUGAUAAGCCGGUUGUGAAAGCCCCGGGCUCAACCUGGGAACGGCAUCCGGAACUGUCAGGCUAGAGUGCAGGAGAGGAAGGUAGAAUUCCCGGUGUAGCGGUGAAAUGCGUAGAGAUCGGGAGGAAUACCAGUGGCGAAGGCGGCCUUCUGGACUGACACUGACGCUGAGGUGCGAAAGCGUGGGUAGCAAACAGGAUUAGAUACCCCAGUAGU
rnacentral:rRNA from 1 species